UGAACUAACGUCGUGGUGGAUUGUUUUGACU
rnacentral:piRNA from 1 species